UAUGAGUAUUCUAAGGCGCUUGAGAGAACUCUGGAGAAGGAACUCGGCAAAUUGACACCGUAACUUCGGAAGAAGGUGUGCCUUUAGUAGGUGAACCAUUUACUUGGGGAGCCCAAUGAGGCCGCAGAGAAUCGGUGGCUGCAACUGUUUAUUAAAAACACAGCACUCUGCAAAGACGAAAGUCGACGUAUAGGGUGUGACUCCUGCCCGGUGCUGGAAGAUUAAAUGAUGGGGUGCAAGCUCUUGACUGAAGUCCCGGUAAACGGCGGCCGUAACAAUAACGGUCCUAAGGUAGCGAAAUUCCUUGUCGGGUAAGUUCCGACCUGCACGAAUGGAGUAAUGAUGGCCACACUGUCUCCUCCAGAGACUCAGCGAAGUUGAAAUGUUUGUGAUGAUGCAAUCUCCCCGCGGAAAGACGGAAAGACCCCAUGAACCUUUACUGUAGCUUUACAUUGGACUUUGAACAGAUCUGUGUAGGAUAGGUGGGAGGCUUUGAAGAGUGGACGCUAGUUUGCUUGGAGCCAACGUUGAAAUACCACCCUGGUGUGUUUGAGGUUCUAACCUUGGUCCCUUAUCGGGAUUGGGGACAGUGUAUGGUGGGCAGUUUGACUGGGGCGGUCUCCUCCCAAAGUGUAACGGAGGAGUUCGAAGGUACGCUAAAUACGGUCGGAAAUCGUGUUGAUAGUGCAUUGGCAUAAGCGUGCUUGACUGCGAGACUGACAAGUCGAGCAGGUACGAAAGUAGGACAAAGUGAUCCGGUGGUUCUGUAUGGAAGGGCCAUCGCUCAACGGAUAAAAGGUACUGUGGGGAUAACAGGCUGAUACCGCCCAAGAGUUCAUAUCGACGGCGGUGUUUGGCACCUCGAUGUCGGCUCAUCUCAUCCUGGGGCUGUAGCCGGUCCCAAGGGUAUGGCUGUUCGCCAUUUAAAGAGGUACGUGAGCUGGGUUUAAAACGUCGUGAGACAGUUUGGUCCCUAUCUUCCGUGGGCGCUGCAAGAUUGAGAGAGCCUGCUCCUAGUACGAGAGGACCGGAGUGGACGCACCUCUGGUGUAUCGGUUGACACGCCAGUGGCAUCGCCGAGUAGCUAAGUGCGGAAGAGAUAACCGCUGAAAGCAUCUAAGCGGGAAACUCGUCUCAAGAUGAGUCUUGCCGGGGCCUAGAGCCCCCUGAAGGGUCGUUCGAGACCAGGACGUUGAUAGGCUGGGUGUGGAAGCGCGGUAACGCGUUAAGCUAACCAGUACUAAUUGCCCGUGAGGCUUGACCCU
rnacentral:rRNA from 1 species